AUGGGGGAAACCCUGAUGGAGCGACGCCGCGUGGAGGAUGAAGGUCUUCGGAUUGUAAACUCCUGUCAUGAGGGAACAAAGCCCGCGAGGGUGUGAUAGUACUUCAAGAGGAAGGGACGGCUAACUUCGUGCCAGCAGCCGCGGUAAU
rnacentral:rRNA from 1 species